GCUUACGGCCAUACCACCCUGAAUGCGCCUGAUCUCGGAGGCUAAGCAGGCUCAGGCCUGGUUAGUACUUGGAUGGGAGACCGCCUGGGAAUACAGGUGCUGUAAGCU
rnacentral:rRNA from 1 species